GCCAAAUGAUGUUUAUUUGAUACAGGAGCCUUUAGUGCAGGGCGACUCUUAAUCUGCUACCCAUCACUGAUGGUU